rnacentral:lncRNA from 1 species
AGCUGGAGACUUAGGGAGGAGACGUCUUGUUCUAGUUUCAGGGUCGUGGAGCUGCAGACUGAGGCAGGAGCAUUGUUGUUAUAGUUCGAGGGUCAGAAAGCUGGCGACCCAGGGAGGAGAGGUCUUGUACUAGUCUGAGGGUCGUGGAGCUGCAGACCCAGGGAGGGGCAAUGUUGUUGUAAUUCGAGGGUCUGGCAGCUGGCAACUCGGGGAGGAGAAGUCUUGUUGGAGUUUGAGGGUCGUGGAGCUGCCAACCCAGGGAGGAGCAAUUUUGUUGUAGUUCAAGGGUCCGGAAGCUGGCGACCCAGGGAGGAGAGGUCUUGAUCCGGUCUGAGGGUCGUGGAGCUACAGACCCAGGGUGGAGCAAUGUUGUUGUAGUUCGAGGGUCAGGAAGCUGGCGGCCCAGGGAGGAGAGGUCUUGUUCUAGUUUGAGGGUCGUGGAGCUGCAGACCCAGGGAGGAGCCAUGUUGGUUUGAAUGUUGUGGAUCUG